rnacentral:rRNA from 1 species
AUGUUGCUUUGGCUGCGCUUCAGUCACGACUCGCAUCGCAGCAGCCUUCCCCUCCGCAGGAAUCUCCAGCGGCGUGGCAUUGACGCCCGGCGUUCCCCUGUCCGACAUCGCCUCGACGAGGACGGAGGGCUCUCCACUCCUGACGCGGCAGCGUCAUCUUCUCAGCGCCACUCCACGGACUUCUCAGCGUCAUCUACUCUGCUUUUUAAACUCUGUUUGAUGUCUGAUGGCUUUAUUAUUAAUUUAAAGCCGGACGCUCCUAAUGUUUUCUUUUUAAAAAUAUACAUAUAUUGUGUUAGAAACACAAACGUGUCAAAACUCAGAAGUCUCACUUACCUCCCUACACUCUUGGCAAAAGAAAAAAGAAUUUACAAGCUGGAAGGCCUAGAACUAGAAGAUGGUCUGCUCGCCUAG